AGCACAGUUGGUGGAUCAUAUGGCAAAAGUAUGUUUUGUUUUAUGGGCACUGCCAAACUGUCUUCCAAAGCACUUCUGCCAUUUUCCAUGCCUAAAAGCAAA
rnacentral:pre_miRNA from 1 species